rnacentral:tmRNA from 1 species
GGGGCUGACAUGGAUUUGACAGCGAUAGCGUUUGUUAAGUAAGCAUGUAGAGCUUUGAGGUGUAGCUCUUUAAUCUAAUGUCUCACAACAAUAAUCGACAACGAUUAUAAUUACGCACUUGCAGCUUAAUUCCCAAAGGGAAUAUAGCUUAAUCCACUCCGAAGUAUAGUAAGAGGGACAAGUAAUUCCACCGGUUUGCGUUUGAUAGAACCGGAAUCUGGAGUUUCAUUAUAUCGAACUAGUCUGGAUAUUGCUUCGGUUGAAGGGCGAAAUUUUAAGAAGCUAAGUCUCAGGUAGGGUGUUUGUGUCCGGCCUGUUAUCGAAAAUCAAUCGCAAAAUAAACAUGUAGAAGGCUUAAUGGAUCGUAGUUUGGACGAGGGUUCGAUCCCCUCCAGCUCCACUG